rnacentral:rRNA from 1 species
GAUGAACGCUGGCGGCGUGCCUAAUACAUGCAAGUCGAGCGAAGCGGGGCCGGGUGAGUAACACGUGGAUAACCUCCUAUACGACUGGUAUCACUUCGGGAAACCGGCGCUACACCGGAUACUUAUAGAUGUAUCCGCGCUGCAUUAGCGAGUUGGUAAGGUAACGGCUUACCAAGGCAACGAUGCAUAGCCGACCUGAGAGGGUGAUCGGCCACACUGGAACUGAGACACGGUCCAGACUCCUACGGGAGGCAGCAGUAGGGAAUCUUCCGCAAUGGGCGAAAGCCUGACGGAGCAACGCCGCGUGAGUGAUGAAGGUCUUCGGAUCGUAAAACUCUGUUAUUAGGGAAGCGGUACCUAAUCAGAAAGCCACGGCUAACUACGUGCCAGCAGCCGCGGUAAUAC